AUUGAACGCUGGCGGCAGGCCUAACACAUGCAAGUCGAGCGGAUGAUGGAAGCUUGCAUCCUGAUUUAGCGGCGGACGGGUGAGUAAUGCCUAGGAAUCUGCCUGUUAGUGGGGGAUAACUCGGGGAAACUCGGGCUAAUACCGCAUACGUCCUACGGGAGAAAGUGGGGGAUCUUCGGACCUCACGCUAACAGAUGAGCCUAGGUCGGAUUAGCUAGUAGGUGAGGUAAUGGCUCACCUAGGCUACGAUCCGUAACUGGUCUGAGAGGAUGAUCAGUCACACUGGAACUGAGACACGGUCCAGACUCCUACGGGAGGCAGCAGUGGGGAAUAUUGGACAAUGGGCGAAAGCCUGAUCCAGCCAUGCCGCGUGUGUGAAGAAGGUCUUCGGAUUGUAAAGCACUUUAAGUUGGGAGGAAGGGCUGUAAGCUAAUAUCUUGCAGUUUUGACGUUACCAACAGAAUAAGCACCGGCUAACUCUGUGCCAGCCGCCGCAGUAA
rnacentral:rRNA from 1 species